rnacentral:rRNA from 1 species
UACAGAGGUCCCAAGCGUUGUUCGGAUUCAUUGGGCGUAAAGGGUGCGUAGGUGGCGCGCUAAGUCAGGUGUGAAAUUUCGGAGCUUAACUCCGAAACUGCAUUUGAUACUGGCGUGCUUGAGGACUGGAGAGGAGACUGGAAUUUACGGUGUAGCAGUGAAAUGCGUAGAGAUCGUAAGGAAGACCAGUGGCGAAGGCGGGUCUCUGGACAGUUCCUGACACUGAGGCACGAAGGCCAGGGGAGCGAACGGG